rnacentral:sRNA from 1 species
UCAUUGCAGCGUGUUAUUGGAGGUGGACGUCCAGGAGGAGUUGUUUCCAGACGAGAAGCUGAAAAUGAGGAGCUUGACUCUGAUCGCGCGGAGAAUGCUAAACGUUUAACGUAUGAUCCUUUUAGGCCAUCAUGGCCAAGGCCUAUACUUGUAAAGUAAAACUACUACAGAGGAGCCCAAAGUCAGAUUUUAAAAGAUGUUUUGGCGGAUUGCGCACGUAAUUAAAUAUUGAUCUUGAGACAUUCAAAUCCA